rnacentral:tmRNA from 1 species
GGGGAUGACAGGCUUCGACGGGAGAGGCUGUCGUUAGACUGCGAGCCGAGAGGCGCCGAUCUCGUAAAACCAGCGCAACAAACUAACUGGCACUAACUCUGCCUAUAACGCUCUUCCGCUCGCCGCCUAAUCGCGGCUAGCCGGAGCAGAUCUCAUGCGUGAGAUCCGUCCCCCGGCAGGCGCUUGCAGAUCGCAAGCCGAUGGGGCGACACAAUAGUCUGCAUGCCGUGCGAGCCGCCGUGCCUCGCGCGAAAGAUAAAGCGGCUGGCUGGAACGCGACCCUGUUGGGCGGGGCGCAUCUGGCGAAACAGAAAUAGCCUGACUACGCUCGUAGAUGUUUAGCGGUGAAUCUUUUCGGACCCGAGUUCGAUUCUCGGCAUCUCCACC